rnacentral:lncRNA from 1 species
UCGAGCCAUUGUCAUGUAUUUUUGGCAGUGCCAUUUACACGUGCUUUCUGGGGGAAGCAAUUUUGAAAGAUAAGUUUGAAAAAAUGGAUCACAAAGUCAACGAUUUUAAAGAGAUGAUGGAAAUACAAAAAGGAGGAAUUACUAUUUUGAAACAGACAAUUGAUUUACAAAACCAGGACAUAAAUAAUAUUAAAACAGAAAUAAAAGAGCAACG